AUGAUUUGAAAUUAAAUAGCCGCAGUAUUUUGACUGUGCUAAGGUAGCAUAAUCAAUUGUUUUUUAAUUAAGAACUGGAAUGAAGGAAUUGAUGAGAUUAAGACUGUCUAAUAUAAAAUGUUAAAAUUUAAAUUUUAAGUAAUAAUUCUUAAAUAAAAUUAUGGGACGAGAAGACCCUAUAGAAUUUGAUAUAAUUUUUUAAAAUAAAUAUAAAAUAAGAUUUAAUAAAAUUAAUAUUUUAUUGGGAGGAUAAUUAAAUUAAAUUAACUUUAAAAUUAAAAUUGAACAUUAAUUUAUGAUAAUAAUUGAAUAAUUUUAUAAUAAUAAUUAAAAUUAAUUAAAAAUUAAUUACCUUAGGGAUAACAGCGUAAUAUUUUUAAAAAGAUCAUAUUGAUAAAAGU
rnacentral:rRNA from 1 species